CAUGUCUAAGACAGAGUCUCUUAAGUAGUCCCAACAGCUGUAGAAGUUCUUCAUCAGAGAGUUGAGCUUUGAAAUGACCAGUGAGGGUCCAAUGAGCCAUUCUGAGCAACAGGGAGCACUCACAGACUGUGGUAAUGAGAGAUCCAAAUACCAAGUGCUCCAGGGGCUUUGGGUUUGUCACAUAUGCCACUGUGGAGGAGGUGGAUGCAGCCGUGAAUGCAAGGCUACAUAAGGUGGACAGAAGAGCUGUAUCAAGAGAAGAUUCUCAAAGACCACAUGCCCACUUAACUAUGAAAAGGAUAUUUGUUGGGGGCUUUAAAAAAGAGAAAUACCAUACUGUGAAUGGCCACAACUAUGAAGUUAGGGAUGCCCUGUCGAAGAAAGAGAUGGCUAGUGUUUCAUCUAGCCAAAGAGGUCGAAAUGGUUCUGGAAACUCUGGUGAUGGUCGUGGAGGUGGUUUUGGUGGGAAUGACAACUUUGGUCAUGGAGGAGAAACUUCAGUGGUUGUGGUGACUUUGGUAGCAGCCAUGCUGGUGGUGAUCUGGUAGCAACAGGGAUGGCUAUAAUGGAUUUGGUAACAACAGUGGUUAUAGAGGGGCAGCCCUGGUUACGCUGAAGGAAGCAGAGGCUAUGGAAGUGGAGGCAGGAUUAUGGAAAUCAGGGCAGUGGCUACAGCAGGAGUGUCAGCUCUCACAGCUAUAACAACGAUGGAGGCAGAAGCAGCUUUGUUGGUGGCAGUGAAAGCAAUUUUGGAGGUGGUGGAAGCUACAAUAAUUUUGGCAAUUAUAACAAUCAGUCCUCAAAUUUUGGAUGCACGAAAGGAGGAAACUUUGGAGGCAGAAGCUCUG
rnacentral:lncRNA from 1 species